rnacentral:rRNA from 1 species
GACGAACGCUGGCGGCGUGCUUAACACAUGCAAGUCGAACGGAAAGGCCCCUUUGGGGGUACUCGAGUGGCGAACGGGUGAGUAACACGUGAGUAACCUGCCCUUGACUUCGGGAUAACUUCAGGAAACUGGGGCUAAUACCGGAUAGGAAUCCUUGCUGCAUGGUGGGGGUUGGAAAGCUUCGGCGGUUUUGGAUGGACUCGCGGCUUAUCUGCUUGUUUGUGGGGUAGUGGCUUACCAAGGCUUUGACGGGUAGCCGGCCUGAGAGGGCGACCGGCCACAUUGGGACUGAGAUACGGCCCAGACUCCUACGGGAGGAAGCAGUGGGGAAUAUUGCACAAGGGGCGGAAGCCUGAUGCAGCAACGCCGCGUGCGGGAAGACGGCCUUCGGGUUGUAAACCGCUUUCAGCAGGGGCGAAGCUUGUGGUGACGGUACCUGCAGAAGAAGCACCGGCUAACUACGUG